GUAUAAUGGAAAAGAAAUCACUGGAUAUGAAGUUGGGAGAUAGAUCCAAGUCUACAUCUAUGUCCUCAUGUUGAUGACUUUGGGAAGUUGUACCCUUCAGCACCUGCUGAGGGCUUUGUUGUCCAAACUCUGACAGGGCACCACUUUCAGAUAAAAACAUAGACCUGAAUGGCAUCAUCCAGUAUCCAAGGAAACCAUUGCUUAACGUCUAAGGAGGCCCUCAGCUUUCAUCGUACUGUGGUUCGACCAUGAAGUGUGUCUGUAACCAGCUAAUGAGCUGCAACAGAGCCUGGCCUUCAUUUUCAGCAAAUUAAGUUCAUCCCUCAUAGGAAUUGUGGUCUGGCUGUGGCACCGCUCCUAGUGAAUAUCUACCUAUUUUCAAGACCCAGCUCAUAUAUGGUUUCUUCCUUGAGAAAUGUCUCAUCUUCUCAAAGAACAACAUAGCUCCAUGGCAGUGGGAUAAUCUUGGAAGAUGUUAGCCAGUGCUUUUGUCCUCCUAGGAUUUCCUCUAACCCCUACCCUUCCUCUACAUUCAGGAAGCUAGGCUACUUUAGGGAAAGGGACAAAAAAUAAAACACGUGACAGUAAAGGAA